rnacentral:rRNA from 1 species
CCUACGGGUGGCAGCAGUGAGGAAUAUUGGUCAAUGGGCGCGAGCCUGAACCAGCCAAGUCGCGUGAAGGAUGACGGCCCUACGGGUUGUAAACUUCUUUUAUAAAGGAAUAAAGUGCGGCACGUGUGCCUUUUUGUAUGUACUUUAUGAAUAAGGAUCGGCUAACUCCGUGCCAGCAGCCGCGGUAAUACGGAGGAUCCGAGCGUUAUCCGGAUUUAUUGGGUUUAAAGGGAGCGUAGGUGGGUUGUUAAGUCAGUUGUGAAAGUUUGCGGCUCAACCGUAAAAUUGCCAUUGAUACUGGGAGCCUUGAGUGCAGGUGAGGUAGGCGGAAUUCGUGGUGUAGCGGUGAAAUGCAUAGAUAUCACGAAGAACUCCGAUUGCGAAGGCAGCUUACUAAACUGCAACUGACAUUGAUGCUCGAAAGUGUGGGUAUCAAACAGGAUUAGAUACCCUGGUAGUC